rnacentral:rRNA from 1 species
GACGAACGCUGGCGGCGUGCCUAACACAUGCAAGUCGAACGAUGAAGCCGGAGCUUGCUCUGGUGAAUUAGUGGCGAACGGGUGAGUAACACGUGAGUAACCUGCCCUUGACUCUGGGAUAACUGCUAGAAAUGGUAGCUAAUACCGGAUACGACCCUCGGAGGCAUCUCCAGGGGGUGGAAAGAAUUUCGGUCAAGGAUGGACUCGCGGCCUAUCAGCUAGUAGGUGAGGUAACGGCUCACCAAGGCGACGACGGGUAGCCGGCCUGAGAGGGUGACCGGCCACACUGGGACUGAGACACGGCCCAGACUCCUACGGGAGGCAGCAGUGGGGAAUAUUGCACAAUGGGCGCAAGCCUGAUGCAGCAACGCCGCGUGAGGGAUGACGGCCUUCGGGUUGUAAACCUCUUUUAGUAGGGAAGAAGCGAAAGUGACGGUACCUGCAGAAAAAGCACCGGCUAACUACGUGCCAGCAGCCGCCGUAA